AGUGGGAUAGCUGGGUCAAAUUGUGGUUCCAUUCCAGGUUUUGUGAGGAAUCUCCAAACUGCUUUCCAUAUUGGCUGCACAAUUUUGCAGUCCCACCACCAAU
rnacentral:pre_miRNA from 1 species